UUUGCAUUUUGACUUGGGCUUCAUGCAAAUCGAACCUGUGGAAAACAAACUCUUUGAGUUUUAAACCGCUGGAGAUAACAUACUGCAAACUGAUCAUUUGGAAAAACCAAAGAACAACAAAGAACAACACAACUUCUGAAUCACUAACUAUUGUGGUGAAAGGAAGAGCUUGGAAAUGGCCUUUCGUCUGCCUGGUGGUAUACCCGAGGAGCACCUCCCGGAUUUUCCGAGGGGACGCAUCCAUGGGUUGCACAUGCUUGCAAGACAAGGCCGUGUAGACAACUUCCCACAUCCUGCAGAACCUGGCCUCCCUGAAGAGGAAGGUGAGUAUAAUAUUGGUCACCGUUUUCCCCCUCUCAGAGAAGAUGAACAUCAAAUAGAGGAGUGGGAGGAUGAAGACGACUGGCCUUACUGGUCUGUAGAUCCUGGGUAUGGCUCCGUGUCUGAAGAGGACGAGAGUGCAGAGGAAGAGGAGCAAGUGGAUGUUGAAAAUUGUAGUGAUAGUUAUGGUGAUGGUUGUAGUGAUGGUGACGUUGAUAGAGAUGGUGAAGUUGAUAGUGAUGGUGGUAGUGGUAGUGGUAGUGGUAGUGAUGGUUAUAGUGAUGGUUAUAGAAAUGGUUAUGGUGAUGGUUAUGGUGAUGGUUAUUGUGAUGAUUUUAGUGCUGGUAAUGCUUAUAGUGCUGGUUAUAGUGCUGGUUAUAUUGCUGGUUAUAGUGAUGGUUAUAGUGAUGGUUAUAGUGAUGGUUGUCGUGAUGGUUCUAGUUUUCAUGAUGAUGUCAACAUCCUACCUUACUCCCCUCUCAUCGAGCACUUCCCACCUCCAAGUUUUUGGCAGCAAUUUAAACCACCGCGUCCUUCCUUUCCCACUGGUGAGCCAUUCUGGCACCUCCCAUUUGGUGGUCCGCUGCACGGGCUUCCUGCGCUGCAAGUGAGAGAACCUGAAUAUGGUUGUCCCUCAGCCUCUCAAAGGUCACACCUUUGCCUCAGGGAGUCUGCACACUCCUCUUCAGGCCUCGGCCCCUCCACAGACAGAAGAAGGGAAGACAGCUCCAGGGAGUCUGCGCACUCCUCUUCAGGCCUCGGCCCCUCCACAAAGAGAAGCAGGGAAGAGAGUGACACCUUGCAGGUAAGUAUGAAGAGGCUGAAGGGGAAUUGUGAGGACAGCCUCAAUGAGUUGCCACCCUCCUCUUCAGGCCACGGCCCCUCCACAUAUAGAAGAAGGGAAGACAGCUCCAGGGAGUCUGCACACUCCUCUUCAGGCCUCGGCCCCUCCACAGACAGAAGAAGGGAAGACAGCUCCAGGGAGUCUGCGCACUCCUCUUCAGGCCUCGGCCCCUCCACAAAGAGAAGCAGGGAAGAAAGUGACACCUUGCAGGUAAGUACGAAGAGGCUGAAGGGGAAUUGUGAGGACAGCCUCAAUGAGUUACCACCCUCCUCUUCAGGCCUCGGCCCCUCCACAUACAGAAGAAGGGAAGACAGCUCCAGCGAGUCUGCGCACUCCUCUUCAGGCCUCGGCCCCUCCACAGACAGAAGAAGGGAAGACAGCUCCAGGGAGUCUGCGCACUCCUCUUCAGGCCUCGGCCCCUCCACAGACAGAAGAAGGGAAGACAGCUCCAGGGAGUCUGCACGCUCCUCUUCAGGCCUCGGCCCCUCCACAUUCAGGAGAUACUGGAUGGUUCCUCUUGAUAACAUGCGAGGAACUGAAGAUAGCGACUCUGAUUAGGACAGAGUUUGGGACUGUUUUCUGCAGGAUUGGAAAACCUUUGCGUCUAAUGGGGUAGAUAAUUCUUUUUUGGAGUAUUGCACCAGGGCCUAUUUGUACAUAUCUGGAAGCAGGAUUGCCUCUUUGUAAUCUUGAAGGCUGGAGGUUGGUUAUGACUCAGGUAGCAUCUAGCAUCAGGGUUAUUUUCUCUUUUGAUUAAUAGUUAGCUUUAAUGGUAAUGUACAGUAUGUGAUACCUAUAUUAAUUGCAUUUAUGUAGCACUUUCAUUCACACACUAGAUCAAGAUUAACUUUAUUGUCCCGCCAUGUUGGAAAUUUGUCUUGGGCACUUAACCCAUGAGGCAGUCAUAUUAAAAAUAAAAACAGACAUGUAUAACAAACAAUAGAUAAUUUACAAUACCAUACAACAAACCAUAAUAUGGCCCUGAUGGUGUAUAAACACAACAUGGUGUCAAGCAGUGCUUUAGUUAAACAUUACUCCAACAAUAAAAUAAUAACAAAACAAAUAAGUAUCAGUGUAGAGAUCACAAGCACAACGAUAACAAAUCCGCAAAUCCCCAUCGCCAGAAAGCUACCACGCAAGGCACUCGCCUGACCAUUGGGAGCAAUGUGGGGUUCAGUGUUUUGCCCAAGGUAUCACUUUUUAAACUAAGCUACAGAUGCCUAUACCAGAGGUAAGUCAACAAUUAUUUGAAUAUGUUCAACAGAAAUGCAAGGAAAAUAGGGGACUUUGCUUAAAGAUAUGCAGUCUCUGUUAAUGCUUUUUUAAAAGCAGUUGAUGCUGUUUAAACUGGCUUUUGGCUCAUGUUUUUAAUGUUGUGUUUGUAAAUCUUUUUAUUUCCAUUGGUAUUUAAUUUCUUUUCUUCUUGUUAAUUUGUCUGUUAUUGGAUCAAAUGUUUUAACAAUAUUUCUCAUGUGAAGCACUUCGAGACUGUCUGUAAAACGGGCUAUAUCAAAUAAACCUGUUAUUAUUUGAUUGCAUUUAUGUAGCGCUAAUGGCAGCAAGCUACCGUGCAAGGCACUAGCCUGACUAUUGGGAGCAAUGUAGGGUUAAGCAUUGUUGUUCUUUGGCUUUUUAACAUAGCUGUGGAUGCCUAUACCAGAGGUAAGUUAACAAUUAUUGACAGUAAUCUCACUUAUUGAAUAGUUAAGGCAUAAUAAAUCUUACUCAUUGUUAUACUGUCAUAUAUUUUUCUAGGUGUUUACUCUGGACCAGAUGAGAAGGAUGGACGACCACAGGACUGGGAUGACUACAAGUCCAGCAAAAGAGCAGUGGUUGCCUUUCUUUCACUUGGCCAACAGGGCAGGAUUCCUCCAGGAUUUUGGCACUCGUCAGGCAGCUGAGAAUGGAUGUCAACCAACCUAUCAUCUCAGGCAGACCCAGCACCACAGCAGACCACUGGACCACGGACGUCAACCAACCUAUCAUCUCAGGCAGACCCAGCACCACAGCAGACCACUGGACCACGGACGUCAACCAACCUAUCAUCUCAGGCAGACCCAGCACCACAGCAGACCACUGGACCACGGACGUCAACCAACCUAUCAUCUCAGGCAGACCCAGCACCACAGCAGACCACUGGACCACGGACGUCAACCAACCUAUCAUCUCAGGCAGACCCAGCACCACAGCAGACCACUGGACCACGGACGUCAACCAACCUAUCAUCUCAGGCAGACCCAGCACCACAGCAGACCACUGGACCACUCUCAGCACCCUACUUGCUUCCAGGCACCAAUUACGAGCUGAAGACCCAUUGAAGACUACUACGAGCUCCUGCCUGACCAGCACAGAGGAAGUUGUCACCAUCUGCUUCUUCUUCUUCUGUGCUGGUGGAUUUGGGAAGCACCUCACACACAGGAAGCAGUCACCACAGACACAGAGACUGAAUUAAAAUAUUAUAAAGUGUUAAGUUUGUGAAUUUAAACACAGUAUGUUAGUAUAUACUGUUUAUCCACUUACUAAUGCAAUACA